AACGCUAGCUACAGGCUUAACACAUGCAAGUCGAGGGGCAGCACUAGGUAGCAAUACUGAGGUGGCGACCGGCGCACGGGUGCGUAACGCGUAUCCAACCUUCCCGAUACUCAGGGAUAGCCUUCCGAAAGGGAGAUUAAUACCUGAUGGUGUUUCAAUUCCGCAUGUUAAUGAAACUAAAGAUUUAUCGGUAUCGGAUGGGGAUGCGUGACAUUAGAUAGUAGGCGGGGUAACGGCCCACCUAGUCUACGAUGUCUAGGGGUUCUGAGAGGAAGGUCCCCCACACUGGAACUGAGACACGGUCCAGACUCCUACGGGAGGCAGCAGUGAGGAAUAUUGGUCAAUGGUCGGAAGACUGAACCAGCCAAGUAGCGUGAAGGAUGAAGGUUCUAUGGAUUGUAAACUUCUUUUAUACGGGAAUAAAACCUCCCACGUGUGGGAGCUUGUAUGUACCGUAUGAAUAAGCAUCGGCUAACUCCGUGCCAGCAGCCGCGGUAAUACGGAGGAUGCGAGCGUUAUCCGGAUUUAUUGGGUUUAAAGGGAGCGUAGACGGGAGAUUAAGUCAGUUGUGAAAGGCUGCGGCUCAACCGCAGCACUGCAGUUGAUACUGGUUUCCUUGAGUGCGGUUGAGGUAUGUGGAAUUCGUGGUGUAGCGGUGAAAUGCUUAGAUAUCACGAAGAACUCCGAUUG
rnacentral:rRNA from 1 species